rnacentral:rRNA from 1 species
AUUGAACGCUGGCGGCAGGCCUAACACAUGCAAGUCGAGCGGAUGAGUGGAGCUUGCUCCAUGAUUCAGCGGCGGACGGGUGAGUAAUGCCUAGGAAUCUGCCUGGUAGUGGGGGACAACGUUUCGAAAGGAACGCUAAUACCGCAUACGUCCUACGGGAGAAAAGUGGGGGAUCUUCGGACCUCACGCUAUCAGAUGAGCCUAGGUCGGAUUAGCUAGUUGGUGAGGUGAAGGCUCACCAAGGCGACGAUCAGUAACUGGUCUGAGAGGAUGAUCAGUCUCACUGGAACUGAGACACGGUCCAGACUCCUACGGGAGGCAGCAGUGGGGAAUAUUGGACAAUGGGCGAAAGCCUGAUCCAGCCAUGCCGCGUGUGUGAAGAAGGUCUUCGGAUUGUAAAGCACUUUAAGUUGGGAGGAAGGGCAGUAAGUUAAUACCUUGCUGUUUUGACGUUACCAACAGAAUAAGCACCGGCUAACUUCGUG